CCUGACGGAGCAACGCCGCGUGAGUGAUGACGGCCUUCGGGUUGUAAAACUCUGUGAUCCGGGACGAAAAGGCAGAGUGCGAAGAACAAACUGCAUUGACGGUACCGGAAAAGCAAGCCACGGCUAACUACGUGCCAGCAGCCGCGGUAAUACGUAGGUGGCAAGCGUUGUCCGGAAUUAUUGGGUGUAAAGCGCGCGCAGGCGGCUUCCCAAGUCCCUCUUAAAAGUGCGGGGCUUAACCCCGUGAUGGGAAGGAAACUGGGAAGCUGGAGUAUCGGAGAGGAAAGUGGAAUUCCUAGUGUAGCGGUGAAAUGCGUAGAGAUUAGGAAGAACACCGGUGGCGAAGGCGACUUUCUGGACGAAAACUGACGCUGAGGCGCGAAAGCGUGGGGAGCAAACAGGAUUAGAUACCCUGGUAGUCCACGCCGUAAACGAUGGAUACUAGGUGUAGGAGGUAUCGACCCUCCUGUGCCGGAGUUAACGCAAUAAGUAUCCGCCUGGGAAGUACGAUCGCAAGAUUAAACUCAAAGGAAUUGACGGGGGGCCCGCACAAGCGGUGGAGUAUGUGGUUUAAUUCGACGCAACGCGAAGAACCUUACCAGGUCUGACU
rnacentral:rRNA from 1 species